UAUUACAAAUAAACAUAAUACAACAAAUAAUGAACACAAACUUUACAUCCUAUGUUAUAUAGAAUUUAUUAAUAAUUAUAUUAUUACCUUUAUAUCUAAUUACUUACGCGAAAGAACACUAUAUUUAGUCGAUUCGUCCUUAAAAAUAAAUAAGUUUAAGUACAUUAUGGGCUAUUUGCGCACAGACGUUUACCAUUACUAUACCACUUGUACAUUCGAUUAAAUUAAAAAAUGUCGUUAUUAUUUUGCUUGUAAAAUAUGAGCAGCAGCUGCGGUUAAACACUAGCGGAACGUUUUUAAUUUGUAACGUUAUAUUAUAAGUAUAGUCAUUUUUAACGAUAACCGAUAUCAUUGCUUAUAACGUGACCACGAUUCGUUUUUUUUUUGUUUUUUUGUUUUUGUUUUUUUUUCCAUCAUUAUUAUUACUUAUCAAAAUAUCAAAACGUAUUAUUGUCAUCGGUUUCAUUAAAUAGCAUACAAUCAUGUGUAACGUGCGACGUAUUGUUUUGCGAAUAUAUAACCUUCGUAUUAUUUAAACGGAUGUGUUAAUGAAGUAUCGGCCGUGUAUUGACCGGAUGCAUUUGAUAUAGGUACACGCAAAGUGAUUGAAUAAGAAGAGCUAUUUCGAUUAACGGCUGGAUUUUGUGGACGAGAUUAAGAAAAAGAAAAGUAGAAGAAGACGGAAGCAAGACACAAUUUAGAAGGUCAAAGAAGUGAUACUUGAAAACCCGAGAGACGGAAAAAUCACCCGGAAGACGACGAUUUCGUAGGGAAGAUUUCGUCAAUGAAGACUAUACUCAGAGUCAAACAUAGACGGAAUAUAGACGGCAAGUAUAGCAGAUACGACCGGGGAAAAUGGAGGAAGAUAUUAUUAUGACUUGACAGAACGGUCUCAACGGUCUUAACUAUAAAAAAAAAAAGUUUCUACAUAACUCCUCGAUUUAUAAUGAUAAUAAUAAAG